UCUCUUCCUCAUCCCCCUCCUCUACUGGGGUUUCUCUUCCACAUCCGCUUCCUUCUGUGUCUUUCCAUCCUUUACCUUAGGUGAUGUCUCUUCCUCCAUCUCCCAUCGACAUUUCCCGAUUCUCAAAUCUUCCUCACUGUUUGACUUCUCCCCUUCACACCUGCCCUUUCCGACUGUCUCACGUCAGGAACACUUUUCUAACCAUUGGGGAAUGAGAGAGAAUAUGUGGAGUUUACAGGGUCACACCGACAGACGAAAUUACUGACAUUCGGUGAAUUCAUUGGAGCUGGGCAGUGAGGGACAUUGACAGUGAUGGGAUCUACGAUCAGUGAAUUACUGAAGGGUUUAAUGUUCCCUGAAAUAUCCGGGUGAGAGAAAUGCCCUCAGACGGACGAUUUUAAUCACAAUGUUCAUCAAUUUGUCUGUUUGUGUUUAGUCUGAACAAUAAUGAACUGGGGGAUUCAGGAGUGAAACUGGUGUCUGCGGCUCUGAGGAACCCGGAGUGUAAAAUACAGAGACUGUGGCUGGGGUAUGUCGGUCUCACAGAUUCUGGUGCCGAGGAUCUCGUCUCCGCUCUCAGUACAAACCCAUCACUGACGGUGCUGAACCUGAGUGGUAAUAAACUGGGGGAUUCAGGAGUGAAACUGGUGUCUGCGGCUCUGAGGAACCCGGAGUGUAAAAUACAGAGACUGGAGCUGAUCCGUGUCGGUCUCACAGAUUCUGGUGCCGAGGAUCUCGUCUCCGCUCUCAGUACAAACCCAUCACUGACGGAUCUGAACCUGGGAUCAAACUCUCUGACAGACCGAUCUGUCCCCGCUCUCCGCCGCCUCAUACUGACCCUCCCGAUUCUGGAGCGGAUCCGGUGAGUGUUUGUGUUAAUGUUCAAUGUGAUAAAAUAUCAGCGGAUCCGCGGGUUUUCUGGUGAUAUUUGUCUGUGAGUGUUGUUGAAACAUUAACCCCGGUCCCCUGUUACUGACACUGUUGUGUGAUCUGUUUAUUUCAUCUUUAUUCUCCCAUCUGUUUCAGGCUGGCGGGGAAUCAGUUCAGUGAGACCGGGAGGAAGGAAUUGAGAUCUCUACAGGAACCCAGACCCAGACUGAGAGUGGAUCUGUGAACAUCUGAAUGUGGUGAAUCGGUUCAGUGAGACCGGGAUGAAGGAACUGAGAUCUCUACAGGAACCCAGACCCGGACUGAUGGUGGAUCUGUGAACAUCUGAAUGUGGGGAAUCGGUUCAGUGAGACCGGGAUGAAGGAACUGAGAUCUCUACAGGAACCCAGACCCGGACUGAGAGUGGAUCUGUGAACAUCUGAAUGUGGUGAAUCGGUUCAGUGAGACCGGGAUGAAGGAACUGAGAUCUCUACAGGAACCCAGACCCGGACUGAUGGUGGAUCUGUGAACAUCUGAAUGUGGGGAAUCGGUUCAGUGAGACCGGGAUGAAGGAACUGAGAUCUCUACAGGAACCCAGACCCGGACUGAUGGUGGAUCUGUGAACAUCUGAAUGUGGGGAAUCGGUUCAGUGAGACCGGGAUGAAGGAACUGAGAUCUCUACAGGAACCCAGACCCGGACUGAGAGUGGAUCUGUGAACAUCUGAAUGUGGGGAAUCGGUUCAGUGAGACCGGGAUGAAGGAACUGAGAUCUCUACAGGAACCCAGACCCGGACUGAUGGUGGAUCUGUGAACAUCUGAAUGUGGGGAAUCGGUUCAGUGAGACCGGGAUGAAGGAACUGAGAUCUCUACAGGAACCCAGACCCGGACUGAUGGUGGAUCUGUGAACAUCUGAAUGUGGGGAAUCGGUUCAGUGAGACCGGGAUGAAGGAACUGAGAUCUCUACAGGAACCCAGACCCGGACUGAUGGUGGAUCUGUGAACAUCUGAAUGUGGGGAAUCGGUUCAGUGAGACCGGGAUGAAGGAACUGAGAUCUCUACAGGAACCCAGACCCGGACUGAUGGUGGAUCUGUGAACAUCUGAAUGUGGGGAAUCGGUUCAGUGAGACCGGGAUGAAGGAACUGAGAUCUCUACAGGAACCCAGACCCGGACUCAGAGUGGAUCUGUGAACAUCUGAAUGUGGUGAAUCGGUUCAGUGAGACCGGGAUGAAGGAACUGAGAUCUCUACAGGAACCCAGACCCGGACUGAUGGUGGAUCUGUGAACAUCUGAAUGUGGGGAAUCGGUUCAGUGAGACCGGGAUGAAGGAACUGAGAUCUCUACAGGAACCCAGACCCGGACUGAGAGUGGAUCUGUGAACAUCUGAAUGUGGGGAAUCGGUUCAGUGAGACCGGGAUGAAGGAACUGAGAUCUCUACAGGAACCCAGACCCGGACUGAUGGUGGAUCUGUGAACAUCUGAAUGUGGGGAAUCGGUUCAGUGAGACCGGGAUGAAGGAACUGAGAUCUCUACAGGAACCCAGACCCGGACUGAUGGUGGAUCUGUGAACAUCUGAAUGUGGGGAAUCGGUUCAGUGAGACCGGGAUGAAGGAACUGAGAUCUCUACAGGAACCCAGACCCGGACUGAGAGUGGAUCUAUGAACAUCUGAAUGUGGUGAAUCGGUUCAGUGAGACCGGGAUGAAGGAACUGAGAUCUCUACAGGAACCCAGACCCGGACUGAUGGUGGAUCUGUGAACAUCUGAAUGUGGGGAAUCGGUUCAGUGAGACCGGGAUGAAGGAACUGAGAUCUCUACAGGAACCCAGACCCGGACUGAGAGUGGAUCUGUGAACAUCUGAAUGUGGGGAAUCGGUUCAGUGAGACCGGGAUGAAGGAACUGAGAACUCUACAGGAACCCAGACCCGGACUGAUGGUGGAUCUGUGAACAUCUGAAUGUGGGGAAUCGGUUCAGUGAGACCGGGAUGAAGGAACUGAGAUCUCUGCAGGAACCCAGACCCGGACUGAGAGUGGAUCUGUGAACAUCUGAAUGUGGGGAAUCGGUUCAGUGAGACCGGGAUGAAGGAACUGAGAUCUCUACAGGAACCCAGACCCGGACUGAGAGUGGAUCUGUGAACAUCUGAAUGUGGUGAAUCGGUUCAGUGAGACCGGGGAGAAGGAACUGAGAUCUCUACAGGAACCCAGACCCGGACUGAGAGUGGAUCUGUGAACAUCUGAAUGUGGUGAAUCGGUUCAGUGAGACCGGGAUGAAGGAACUGAGAUCUCUACAGGAACCCAGACCCGGACUGAUGAUGGAUCUGUGAACAUCUGAAUGUGGGGAAUCGGUUCAGUGAGACCGGGAUGAAGGAACUGAGAUCUCUACAGGAACCCAGACCCGGACUGAUGGUGGAUCUGUGAACAUCUGAAUGUGGUGAAUCGGUUCAGUGAGACCGGGAUGAAGGAACUGAGAUCUCUACAGGAACCCAGACCCGGACUGAUGGUGGAUCUGUGAACAUCUGAAUGUGGGGAAUCGGUUCAGUGAGACCGGGAUGAAGGAACUGAGAUCUCUACAGGAACCCAGACCCGGACUGAUGGUGGAUCUGAAUGUGUGAACAUCCCCGCCCGCGGGAUGGGGACAUUUGGCCGACUCCCCGCCCUCCCCUUUAACUCCCGCCCUCCCCUUUAACGGCCGCGCGCCGGGGCUGAUUCCCAACGGUUUUAACGGAACCGGCUCGGGCCUCGCGCUGUGUGCGUCGCUCGCAGCGGUCCCGCAGUGACGUGUUUCCGCCUGUUGUCCGGCGGGGUAGCAUCCGCCGGAAGUGCGUGGAGGAGACUCCCCACGUGACUCCCCGGGGAAUUACCCGGACAGGAAGAGCCCGGGGUCCGGGGUUCAGUCUGGGACACCGGUGUCCCGGGGUGGGGGGGAUGGUCCCGGGAGAGAAUCCUUUUGCCCCCUUUGCUGAGGACGGAGCAUUCGGCAGCCUGGCCGAUAUAAUGAUGUUAAAUGGACAAAUCCCUCGGCAGUGACCCUGGAUCUGCAGCGAUCCCGGACACGGCCCUGAAGUGUGAUUUUAUAAUCAGUUUUAUAAUUUUAUAAUCAGUUCCCCGAUGCAGAGUGACGGUGAGAAACGGGACUGGUUAUUAUUCAACCGGUCACCCCUUGUCGCCGGUCAGUUAAUUGUGUGUGACUGUCAGCAGAUUAUUUAUUACCGCACGUUAGCAGCUCACACAUUGUUUCAUUGAUAUUUCUCAUAAAAAUCAAUAAACCACUGUAUCUUCCUGU